rnacentral:rRNA from 1 species
AUUGAACGCUGGCGGCAGGCCUAACACAUGCAAGUCGAACGGCAGCACAGAAGAGCUUGCUCUUUGGGUGGCGAGUGGCGGACGGGUGAGUAAUGUCUGGGAAACUGCCCGAUGGAGGGGGAUAACUACUGGAAACGGUAGCUAAUACCGCAUAACGUCGCAAGACCAAAGUGGGGGACCUUCGGGCCUCACACCAUCGGAUGUGCCCAGAUGGGAUUAGCUAGUAGGUGGGGUAAUGGCUCACCUAGGCGACGAUCCCUAGCUGGUCUGAGAGGAUGACCAGCCACACUGGAACUGAGACACGGUCCAGACUCCUACGGGAGGCAGCAGUGGGGAAUAUUGCACAAUGGGCGCAAGCCUGAUGCAGCCAUGCCGCGUGUAUGAAGAAGGCCUUCGGGUUGUAAGUACUUUCAGCGGGGAGGAAGGCGGUGAGGUUAAUAACCUCGCCGAUUGACGUUACCCGCAGAAGAAGCACCGGCUAACUCCGUGCCAGCAGCCGCGGUAAUACGGAAGGUGCAAGCGUUAAUCGGAAUUACUGGGCGUAAAGCGCACGCAAGCGGUGCUGUUAAGUCAGAUGUGAAAUCCCCGGGGCUUAACCUGGGAACUGCAUUUGAAACUGGCAAGCUUGAGUCUCGUAGAGGGGGGUAGAAUUCCAGGUGUAGCGGUGAAAUGCGUAGAGAUCUGGAGGAAUACCGGUGGGCGAAGGCGGCCCCCUGGACGAAGACUGACGCUCAGGUGCGAAAGCGUGGGGAGCAAACAGGAUUAGAUACCCUGGUAGUCCACGCCGUAAACGAUGUCGACUUGGAGGUUGUGCCCUUGAGGCGUGGCUUCCGGAGCUAACGCGUUAAGUCGACCGCCUGGGGAGUACGGCCGCAAGGUUAAAACUCAAAUGAAUUGACGGGGGCCCGCACAAGCGGUGGAGCAUGUGGUUUAAUUCGAUGCAACGCGAAGAACCUUACCUGGCCUUGACAUCCAGAGAACUUAGCAGAGAUGCUUUGGUGCCUUCGGGAACUCUGAGACAGGUGCUGCAUGGCUGUCGUCAGCUCGUGUUGUGAAAUGUUGGGUUAAGUCCCGCAACGAGCGCAACCCUUAUCCUUUGUUGCCAGCGAUUCGGUCGGGAACUCAAAGGAGACUGCCGGUGAUAAACCGGAGGAAGGUGGGGAUGACGUCAAGUCAUCAUGGCCUUUACGGCCAGGGCUACACACGUGCUACAAUGGCGCAUACAAAGAGAAGCGACCUCGCGAGAGCAAGCGGACCUCAUAAAGUGCGUCGUAGUCCGGAUUGGAGUCUGCAACUCGACUCCAUGAAGUCGGAAUCGCUAGUAAUCGUAGAUCAGAAUGCUACGGUGAAUACGUUCCCGGGCUUUGUACACACCGCCCGUCACACCAUGGGAGUGGGUUGCAAAAGAAGUAGGUAGCUUAACUUUCGGGAGGGCGCUUACCACUUUGUGAUUCAUGACUGGGGUG